rnacentral:lncRNA from 1 species
UGUACUGCAGAGACGGAAGAAAUGCAUUUAAAGCACAGAUGAAAAUGGCGUGCAGUAUAAUUACCUCAAAUUGCUGUUCGCUUGACACCCUGACACUAAUUUUAUUCAAGCCAUUGGGAAAUAAAUGUUUUAAAAGCACUUCUUUCCAAACGCUGGAGCUAGUGGGGGCUGUGAGGUCAUUAAGGAAAGGAAAGGGUAAAGUUUUCAGCACGCAAAGAAGAAUUAAAUAAUCCAUUUAAAAUAAGCGUCUAUGUGGAUCGACAGCCUUUAAUGCCCACAUUUUUAACGCUUGCCCUGUACGUGGAUUGAUUUUUUUUUCCUUCAGCAUUCCCUCACCAGAUGGAUUUUUGCUACUGCAGAUCAGCAGAGGGUGUCAGAUCUUUCAGAGUGCACCAGGCUGGAACAAGCAGAGCUUCUUAGCAACUCUCUUCUACCCCCUCCCCAUUCUCGCGCUCUCUCCCUCCCUCAGACAACUCGCCCCCCGCCCUCCGCCCCCUCCACGUAAUUCCGAAAGAGCAGAAUAAAGAGGAGGAAAAGAAAAGAAGAGCUAGUAACCGAGAGCCGGAGCCCAGAAAAAGGGGCUGAAGAGGACCGAAGGGGAGGAAAGGAAAAGGAUGGACAGCCACAAAACGCAGCGAUUGCGGAAAUUUUCCAGCGCCAUUGGCUCGGCAGCGUGAGUCUUUCGGUCGGGCGUGAUUUCAGCACCGGGGGGACUGGACAGCACCUCGGGGGGACUUCUGGGCAACCUGCAACCGAAGCAAGAACUCCAUCAGCUGCUUCCGCUACAGAAGCUGCCGAAAACCCUGCUUUGUAUCAGAGAGGCAAGGAGAUGGAAGACAGUGAAGGAACUGGAGAGAGAGGUAGCAGGGCACUAACCCUCUCUGAUGGCACCCAAGGUGUUUUGGGACACAGGUAUAGAAAUAAAUGCAUAUGUAUAUAAGUAUAUAUAUAAUUUUUAAAUGUGUCAAUAUAUGUGUCAAUAUACUAUGACAUAAAAAUAGAGACAGAAACAGCUUUACUUUAAGCAGAUAAUUAAUGCUCCUCC